ensembl:lncRNA
UUGUUGUAUUCUUGUUGUUAUUACAUUCUUAAAGAGUCCAUCCCUUCUCUCGAUGUCCCUCGUGGCUGCACGUUCUCCAUCACGUCGGGGUCACCACUUGUUGUUGUAUCGUUGUUAUUACAUUCUUAAAGAGUCCAUCCCUUCUCUCAGUGUUCCUUGUGGCUGCAUGUUCUCCAUCACGUCGGGGUCACCACUUGUUGUUGUAUGGUUGUCAUCUUGUUGUUAUAACAAUACAUACAUUCAGGCCCCCACAAAAAACCCAUCCAAAAAAAGCCAAAAAAAAGCAGGAAAAUGGGUUUAGAAACCAGAACAGGCAGAGGGAGGUGGAAAAUUUUGUUGCAAAAGGAAAAUGUGAAACGCCCUUACGCGUGCCGGGCCUGCUCGAUGGGGUGCUGGUUGUCCAGGUAGUUGUAGCGGAUGGUGUCCGUGGGGUUCCUGUCGGAGGAGCGCCAUGGAGGGAGCUCCUUCCUGCCCCUGCUCACAGAAAGUUUCCUCUCUGGGAUGUUGCUCUUCACUGGCUGCACGUCGAUAACGAUGAACUCGUCCUUGGAAGGAGUCUGAUUGGACGGGUGGAAAGAAGAAAAUGAGUUUUAUGAUGAAAAUCAGAUUGGGUUAAAUUUAGAGUUGUAAUCGUUAGGGAUUAAUUCAAAUUUUGGUUUCUGUGGGCUCCAUUGUGGUCAGUGACACAAAGAGGCACUCAAGCCCUAUAAUCCAUAUUGAGAUGAGAUGAGAUGAGAUGAGAUGAGCUGAGCUGCUGUUGAGCUGUAUCAGCUUUUGCCUAUCAACUACAGAGAGCCUGAUUUAAAGCCAGACUUUGCUUUAAAUUAAAGGGCUGAGCUUUGAAUUGAAUUUAAAUGAGCUUUCAAUGAAAUUUAAAAGUUUGGGGUUUUAGAAUAUAGAAAUAUAUUUAAAUAAGAUGGAGGGUUUAGGGUGGUGGUUGGUCCCUCUUCUUCACCUUGUCCUUUUCCAGGGGUUUGGGUGGUAUUUUGUAAUUGGACAGCAAAGUCCACAUUGUGGAACUUGAGUGAUUAUCGUGUUAA